ensembl:lncRNA
GGCUAAUCCUGUGCGCGUUCAUGACGCCAUUUUAUGCCGGAAACUAGACAUUUCUUAAAAAUACAUAUACCCAUUUUCAGUAUGCAGCCUGCUUGCAAGGGUGCUUCAAAGGCGUUUUCCAGAUAUUCCCGGCUGUGCGAGGGUCCAGGGGCCCAGCCUGCGCACGCCCUGGGUACCCCCCAGCAGGCCCCCUACGCGGGGGCGGAGAUACUGUCACCCAUUGGCUGAGGCAGCUCCCACACGCCCCCCAGAGCCCCGCAAGUCGGUACCUUCAGGAGUCCCCUCGGGCCACGCGUCAGUCACCCUGCGCCCCUCUCUCAGACCGCCAGCUCCCCCCCCCCCCCCACCCCGCCCCAGGUCCCUCCAUUUCUGCCAUCUCUGUUUUUCCUGACGCUUCUACUUGUGGCUCCUCUCGUUCCUUUGCGCAUUCAAAACUGGGCAGCGGGCAGGAGCGCGGCUCACCGCAGCCCUAGCAGUGGUGCCGGAAGCGCGACCGCCGCCUCGGCACAGUCCCCUGCUGCUUCGGCUGGUUCUUACUGCAGUACUUUCCCGUGGAUCUGGAAAAGUAACUCUUCACAUCCAUCCCCUGAAAAUCUUCUGAACAGGAGCUGUCAUUUGAAAUCUAAAGGGACUUUGGAGAAACCCAAGUGCAACAAGCUUUUGAAUGUUAUAAACCUACUGCCAACUUGUGAAAAAAGAAAACUUUGAAAAAAAGGUUAAAAUAGCUAUUUUACUGAUGUACUUUACAGAGAAGGAAGUUUGGAUAUGCAGUUGCACUGUUUUUCUUUUAAUUGAACGUACAAAUAAAAUUAUAUUUAUACAGAGUAGUUAAUGAAAA